UACGAGAGGCCCAAACGUUAUUCGGAAUUACUGGGCUUAAAGAGUUCGUAGGCGGCGCGGAAAGUGGGGUGUGAAAGCCCCUCGGCUCAACCGAGGAAUUGCGCUCCAAACUACCGUGCUUGAGGAAGCUAGAGGUGAGCAGAAACUGAUGGUGGAGCGGUGAAAUGCGUUGAUAUCAUCAGGAAUACCGGAGGCGAAGGCGGCUCACUGGGGGCUUUUUCUGACGCUGAGGAACGGAAAGCCAGGGUAGCGAACGGG
rnacentral:rRNA from 1 species